UACGUAGGGUGCAAGCGUUAAUCGGAAUUACUGGGCGUAAAGCGUGCGCAGGCGGCUUGCAAGACAGAUGUGAAAUCCCCGGGCUUAACCUGGGAACUGCAUUUGUGACUGCAUGGCUGGAGUGCGGCAGAGGGGGAUGGAAUUCCGCGUGUAGCAGUGAAAUGCGUAGAUAUGCGGAGGAACACCGAUGGCGAAGGCAAUCCCGUGGGCCUGCACUGACGCUCAUGCACGAAAGCGUGGGGAGCAAACAGG
rnacentral:rRNA from 1 species